rnacentral:rRNA from 1 species
GGACUACCGGGGUAUCUAAUCCUGUUUGCUCCCCACGCUUUCGUGCCUGAACGUCGGUGCUGGACCAGGAAGCCGCCUUCGCCACUGAUGUUCCUUCCGAUAUCUACGCAUUUCACUGCUACACCGGAAAUUCCGCUUCCCUCUUCCGCACCCUAGCUAUUCAGUCUCGAAUGCAAUUCCCAGGUUGAGCCCGGGGAUUUCACAUCCGACUUAAAUAACCGUCUACGCACGCUUUACGCCCAGUAAUUCCGAUUAACGCUUGCACCCUCUGUAUUACCGCGGCUGCUGGCAC